UCUGAGAAAAUAUAGAAGGUCCAGCCUGCCCAGUGACAAAGUUAAACGGCCGCGGUACCCUAACCGUGCGAAGGUAGCGCAAUCACUUGUUCUUUAAAUGAGGACUAGUAUGAACGGCAUCACGAGGAUUAUACUGUCUCCCCCCUUUAAUCAGUGAAACUGAUCCCCCCGUGAAGAAGCGGGGAUAAACCUAUAAGACGAGAAGACCCUAUGGAGCUUUAAACUAACACCACCUGUCUAUAAACACUUCAUAACAAACAGACAAACCUACGUGCUAGUUUUUGGUUGGGGUGACCGCGGAGCAAAAUAAAACCUCCACGAUGAAAAGAUUUUUCCCUCUUAAUCCAAGAGCAACAUCUCAAAGAAUUGGUAAACCAACACAACUGAUCCAAAUAAUACUUUGAUCAACGAAC
rnacentral:rRNA from 1 species